rnacentral:lncRNA from 1 species
UUUAUAUGUAUUCUCUCUCUUUUCAUCACGUUCAAAGGUUGAACUCAACCCUAAGGGCUCCCAUCGUUCUGUUUUUAAAGAUUUGUGAGGGAGGUAAAUCGCGAGAUAUAUCCCAACAGGCUAGGGAAUAAGAGCUGCUUGUACAUUACGCCUACAAAAAGUUUCAUUCCAUGUCUCAGGAAUCGAACCCUCACGCUGCGGCUGUCAGUAAGGCGUGAGAUAACCCCACUCCUAUCAUUUACACCACUGGACUAUGCCCCGAGGCUCUCUUUUCAUCACGUUUAUAUAUACCUAAAAUUUCCCUUAGAACCACUGCUACCUUCUAAAUCUCUCUUCCAUCAAGCGUUUUAUUUUGAAUUCCAAAGCAAACGAAAAAUGGCAGCCUUUUCAUCAUAUAAUCAGCAGCACCCUUUUCCUAUUGACUCAAUUGUUCUGCAACCAAACUCUUCCAUCAUUAAAAUUUGCGAACAACUAAACAGUGCAAAUACCGCUGAAUUUGGACAGGUUAUUGUCCCUUCCAAUCUUGGUGUUCUUCGAAAUAGAUGCCUUGACCAGAGUACAAAAGUUUCUUUCAGC